AUUGAACGCUGGCGGCAGGCUUACACAUGCAAGUCGAACGGUAACAUGAAGAAGCUUGCUUCUUUGAUGACGAGUGGCGGACGGGUGAGUAAUGCUUGGGAAUCUAGCUUAUGGAGGGGGAUAACUACGGGAAACUGUAGCUAAUACCGCGUAGAAUCGAGAGAUGAAAGUGUGGGACCUUCGGGCCACAUGCCAUAGGAUGAGCCCAAGUGGGAUUAGGUAGUUGGUGAGGUAAAGGCUCACCAAGCCGACGAUCUCUAGCUGGUCUGAGAGGAUGACCAGCCACACUGGGACUGAGACACGGCCCAGACUCCUACGGGAGGCAGCAGUGGGGAAUAUUGCGCAAUGGGGGCAACCCUGACGCAGCCAUGCCGCGUGAAUGAAGAAGGCCUUCGGGUUGUAAAGUUCUUUCGGUAGCGAGGAAGGCAUUUAGUUUAAUAGACUAGGUGAUGGACGUAA
rnacentral:rRNA from 1 species